rnacentral:rRNA from 1 species
UACAGAGGUCUCAAGCGUUGUUCGGAUUCAUUGGGCGUAAAGGGUGCGUAGGCGGCGCGGUAAGUCGGGUGUGAAAUCUCGGAGCUUAACUCCGAAACUGCAUUCGAUACUGCCGUGCUUGAGGACUGGAGAGGAGACUGGAAUUUACGGUGUAGCGGUGAAAUGCGUAGAUAUCGUAAGGAAGACCAGUGGCGAAGGCGGGUCUCUGGACAGUUCCUGACGCUGAGGCACGAAGGUUAGGGGAGCAAACGGG